AGUCGAGGGGCAGCGGGUAGAUGAGCUUGCUCAUUUAUGCCGGCGACCGGCGCACGGGUGAGUAACACGUAUGCAACCUGCCCGUCUCAGGGGGAUAAUCGUCGGAAACGGCGUCUAAUACCCCGUAUGAAGCCGGACGGCAUCGUCUGGUUUUGAAAGAAUAUCGGAGACGGAUGGGCAUGCGGCGCAUUAGCUAGUUGGCGGGGUAACGGCCCACCAAGGCGACGAUGCGUAGGGGUUCUGAGAGGAAGGUCCCCCACACUGGUACUGAGACACGGACCAGACUCCUACGGGAGGCAGCAGUGAGGAAUAUUGGUCAAUGGGCGAGAGCCUGAACCAGCCAAGUCGCGUGAGGGAGUACUGCCCUAUGGGUUGUAAACCUCUUUUGUCGGGGAGCAAAAGCCGGACGUGUCCGGCUGUGAGAGUACCCGAAGAAAAAGCAUCGGCUAACUCCGUGCCAGCAGCCGCGGUAAUACGGAGGAUGCGAGCGUUAUCCGGAUUUAUUGGGUUUAAAGGGUGCGCAGGCGGAUUUUUAAGUCAGCGGUCAAAUCGUGGGGCUCAACCCCAUCCAGCCGUUGAAACUGGGGAUCUAGAGUGUGCGAGAGGUAUGCGGAAUGCGUGGUGUAGCGGUGAAAUGCAUAGAUAUCACGCAGAACCCCGAUUGCGAAGGCAGCAUACCGGUGCACAACUGACGCUCAGGCACGAAAGCGUGGGUAUCGAACAGGAUUAGAUACCCUGGUAGUCCACGCAGUANACGAUGAAUGCUACCUNUUUGGCCAGAUUGAAGGCUGAGCGGGACAGCGAAAGCGUUAAGCAU
rnacentral:rRNA from 1 species